rnacentral:rRNA from 1 species
GACGAACGCUGGCGGCGUGCUUAACACAUGCAAGUCGAACGAAAAGAGGGAAAGAGCUUGCUCUUUCCGGAAUUGAGUGGCAAACGGGUGAGUAACACGUAAACAACCUGCCUUCAGGAUGGGGACAACAGACGGAAACGACUGCUAAUACCGAAUAAGUUCCAAGAGCCGCAUGGCCCAUGGAAGAAAAGGUGGCCUCUACCUGUAAGCUAUCGCCUGAAGAGGGGUUUGCGUCUGAUUAGCUGGUUGGAGGGGUAACGGCCCACCAAGGCGACGAUCAGUAGCCGGUCUGAGAGGAUGAACGGCCACACUGGAACUGAGACACGGUCCAGACUCCUACGGGAGGCAGCAGUGGGGAAUCUUCCGCAAUGGGCGAAAGCCUGACGGAGCAAACGCCGCGUGAGUGAUGACGGCCUUCGGGUUGUAAAAACUC